CCUACGGGAGGCAGCAGUGAGGAAUAUUGGUCAAUGGGCGAGAGCCUGAACCAGCCAAGUCGCGUGAAGGAUGACGGCCCUACGGGUUGUAAACUUCUUUUGUCAGGGAGCAAUUGAUUCCACGUGUGGGCUUAGCGAGAGUACCUGCAGACAAAGCAUCGGCUAACUCCGUGCCAGCAGCCGCGGUAAUACGGAGGAGGCGAGCGUUAUCCGGAUUUAUUGGGUUUAAGGGGUGCGUAGGCGGAAUAUCAAGUCAGCGGUAAAAAUUCGGGGCUCAACCCCGUCGUGCCGUUGAAACUGAUGGUCUUGAGUGGGCGAGAAGUAGGCGGAAUGCGUGGUGUAGCGGUGAAAUGCAUAGAGAUCACGCAGAACUCCGAUUGCGAAGGCAGCAUACCGGAGCACAACUGACGCUGAAGCACGAAAGCGUGGGUAUCGAACAGGAUUAGAUACCCGAGUAGUC
rnacentral:rRNA from 1 species